UACGUAGGGUGCGAGCGUUAAUCGGAAUUACUGGGCGUAAAGCGUGCGCAGGCGGUUCGUUAAGUUCGUUGUGAAAGCCCCGGGCUCUACCUGGGAACUGCAAUGGAAACUGGCGGGCUUGAGUAUGGCAGAGGGGGGUGGAAUUCCGCGUGUAGCAGUGAAAUGCGUAGAUAUGUGGAGGAACACCGAUGGCGAAGGCAGCCCCCUGGGUCAAAACUGACGCUCAUGCACGAAAGCGUGGGGAGCAAACAGG
rnacentral:rRNA from 1 species